rnacentral:tRNA from 1 species
UAGUACAGUUGGUAGAGCAUGAGACUCUUAAUCUCAGGGUCGUGAGUUCAAGCCCCAC